rnacentral:lncRNA from 7 species
ACAGCGUUUUGUUCACACACACAAAAGACCCUCCCCCUCGUUUUUUCUCAGUGGUCACAAAGCCGGGGAAAACAAAAAAAAAACAGAGCAGAACAAAACAAAACCAGCACGAACAAUCGAACAGAAAUCAGGGAAAGGAGGGGCGUUUCUUGUAUUUUGGGGGCUCAGCCUGCAACCAAAACUCUCCUCCCAAAAUGCCUCUAAAAAUCUUCCCGUUGCGGUGAAGAAAGGACAGAGGAGGCAGGCAGAACCAACUCUUCAGCAGAGAACCACGCACGGAUGAGAGCUUCCUUCCCCCUGCCAGGCUGGGAGAACACAGGAGCCUUUGAGAAGUCUGCCCUUCGGGACUCCUUUCCUCCACCUCCUCUCUCCUCUGAGCUUUCCCAUUAUAAACGACUGGACACCUGCUUGUUCUCCUCCUUGGAGACAUUUCAGACAGUGCUGUGGGAGGCUCUGAAUUUCCAAAGUGGCCAUAAAGCAGAUGCUUGAGGACAGGACAAGGACGGAUCCCCAGCACAUUCUCACAGUCUGCAGGAGCUCCAGCACUUCUUUGGCCAGAGAAAAACUCACGCAUUUUGGUUAACGCCAUCCAGAUUAUUGUUCUGGGAUGCAGAAUGCAGCAGGCCUUGGGAUACCCACCUGCAGCUGCCACCUCCACAACACUUCAUCUGUGUACUGUGCUUGUGAACAUGGAGGGCCAGAAGAAUGAUAACAUGUGCUGCUGUCCUGUUCUCCCCCUGAAACUCCUCUGAUUUUCCUGUGUGUGUUCAACAUGAUAUAUACUUCUCUCUUUUUCAAGAUGAUGACCUAUUUUUCUACCAUCACUGCAGAAUACAUUAUCAUAAACCAUAUUUUUCACGU